UGGUGCUGCCCACGAAGGCACAGCCAGGGAGAAAUCCCUAGAGAAUGUUCCCAAAAUGGCCCAUCUAGUAUCAGAUGGGAGGUGGCUUGCUGAGCGGUGAGCACAUGUAACCCAGUCCUUGUGACCUACAAACCAUCAGUAAAAAUCCGGCUAAUGUGCAAUGCUUGUAAAAAUAAUUGCUUUUUAAGCAAGAAGAUAGGGUUGGGUUAAGAAGAUGCAGAAUUAUGGAGACCGGAGUAUGAGAAUUCGUCGAGGGCAGGAAAUUGGAGCCUGAGGUAGCAAACACGUAUCCACUGUAUGCUGGUUCUUUACUGUGAGGGAUACAAAGGGGAGUGACAUGUGAUACUUGUCUUCCGGGAGCCCAAGGUUAAGUGGAGGAUGGCAAAGCAUGGUAUGAUGAGUCCAAUAAAGAAGAUAUAAGCCAAGAGCUAUUGUGAUCCCAGGUAGGAUUAAUUCUCACCUGAGGUCUGAAGAAGGCUCUAUGGAAAAGGAGACAUUUAAAUUGUGCUUUGAAGAAUGACUAGAACACUGCCAAGGAGAGUGAAGGAAAGGGAUCUUCCUGUUUUGUAUUGGAGGAGUGCUGGUCUUGACUAUUGUCACUACUGUUGAGGAAUGGCAUGCUUAAGCUCCAAAAUCACAGCUCUCUAAGUUCACAUUCUACUUCCAAGCAUCAUUCCCAAGUGCUACCAUGGCUUUGGAGACUGUGCCACAAGGCUCCUUCUGCCUCAACCAUGUGCUACGCCAGAACUGGUCCAGCCCCAUGAAUCUUGGGCUCCUAUAUGAGCCUGGGUCCCUAGCAUGGUGUUCCUUUGCUUUGGUGUCUUUGGGGACUUGGAAUCAUCUUUUGCCAAAGAAACAUGGUGAGGGCUACUGCCGUUUUCCCUUGUUUUAUUUUAAUUUUAAGAUUUAUUUGUUUAGGGGUACCUGGGUGGCUCAGUGGGUUAAAGCCUCUGCUUUCGACUUGGGUCAUGGUUCCGGGGUCCUGGGAUCUAGCCCUGCAUCGGGCUCUCUGCUCGGUGGGGAGCCUGCUUCCUCCUCUCUCUC